rnacentral:rRNA from 1 species
UGUAGUCAUAUGCUUGUCUCAAAGAUUAAGCCAUGCAUGUCUAAGUAUAAGCAAUUAUACAGUGAAACUGCGAAUGGCGCAUUAAAUCAGUUAUCGUUUAUUUGAUAGUACCUUACUACUUGGAUAACCGUGGUAAUUCUAGAGCUAAUACAUGCUUAAAAUCCCGACUGUUUGGAAGGGAUGUAUUUAUUAGAUAAAAAAUCAAUGCCUUCGGGCUCUUUGAUGAUUCAUAAUAACUUUUCGAAUCGCAUGGCCUUGUGCUGGCGAUGGUUCAUUCAAAUUUCCGCCCUAUCAACUUUCGAUGGUAGGAUGGUGGCCUACCAUGGUUUCAACGGGUAACGGGGAAUAAGGGUUCGAUUCCGGAGAGGGAGCCUGGGAAACGGCUACCACAUCCAAGGAAGGCAGCAGGCGCGCAAAUUACCCAAUCCCGACACGGGGAGGUAGUGACAAUAAAUAACGAUACAGGGCCCUUUCGGGUCUUGUAAUUGGAAUGAGUACAA